rnacentral:lncRNA from 1 species
GGGCUCUAAGAGGUGAUAAUUCAUAUUCAUGCCUCAUGGAUGAUCUAGGAAAACAGCCUAGGCAUAAUUGGUUAGUGUUUGACAAUUUGCAAUGCUACGUCUUAAGGUCAAUUCUUAUAAAAGUUACAUCUGAGGUUCAAUUCCUACAAAGGGUAGUAGGGCCCUCGACCCAGCGACUCACUCAAAAAAAUCUAAAUUGGAUGAUCCGAGUUGUAGGUUCUCAGAGUUUUGCAUCUGGGUUAAUUUGAAAAUGAAAUAAAAUUGAAAUCAUCUUGAAUUUAGAAUUCUAUUGCAUCUGGGUUAAUUUGAAAAUGAAAUAAAAUUGAAAUCAUCUUGAAUUUAGAAUUCUAAGCAUAGAAUGAUGGAGAAAAAGCAUACAGAGCCUGUAAACUUGACCUUUCGAGUAUAAAAUGAAGAGAGCUCCUUGCAAGUAGUAAAUGCCAAAUAGAGAGAAGGAAAGCAAAGGCACCCGACCUGGCUAAAGAGAAGAAGGAAGCAAAAACAAGGUAAGCAAUUCACCUGUUUGGAUCGAAAAACUAC